CAGCCGCCGCGGUAAUACGUAGGGUGCAAGCGUUGUCCGGAAUCAUUGGGCGUAAAGCGCGCGUAGGUGGCCAUUUAAGUCCGCUGUGAAAGUCAAAGGCUCAACCUUUGAAAGCCGGUGGAUACUGGAUGGCUAGAGUACGGAAGAGGCGAGUGGAAUUCCUGGUGUAGCGGUGGAAUGCGCAGAUAUCAGGAGGAACACCAAUAGCGAAGGCAGCUCGCUGGGACGUUACUGACACUAAGGCGCGAAAGCGUGGGGAGCGAACAGGAUUAGAUACCCGUGUAGUCCCUGUCUCUUAUAC
rnacentral:rRNA from 1 species